rnacentral:rRNA from 1 species
GACGAACGCUGGCGGCGUGCUUAACACAUGCAAGUCGUACGGUAAGGCCCUUUCGGGGGUACACGAGUGGCGAACGGGUGAGUAACACGUGAGUAACCUGCCCACAACUUUGGGAUAACGCUAGGAAACUGGUGCUAAUACUGGAUAUGUGCUCCUGCUGCAUGGUGGGGGUUGGAAAGCUCCGGCGGUUGUGGAUGGACUCGCGGCCUAUCAGCUUGUUGGUGGGGUAGUGGCCUACCAAGGCGGCGACGGGUAGCCGGCCUGAGAGGGUGACCGGCCACAUUGGGACUGAGAUACGGCCCAGACUCCUACGGGAGGCAGCAGUGGGGAAUAUUGCACAAUGGGCGCAAGCCUGAUGCAGCAACGCCGCGUGCGGGAGGACGGCCUUCGGGUUGGAAACCGCUUUCAGCAGGGACGAAGCUUUUUGUGACGGUACCUGCAGAAGAAGCACCGGCUAACUACGUG